AGUCUGCAACUCGACUACAUGAAGCUGGAAUCGCUAGUAAUCGCGAAUCAGAAUGUCGCGGUGAAUACGUUCCCGGGUCUUGUACACACCGCCCGUCACACCAUGGGAGUUGGUAACGCCCGAAGUCAGUGACUCAACCGAAAGGGGAGAGCUGCCGAAGGCAGGCCUGGUGACUGGGGUGAAGUCGUAACAAGGUACC
rnacentral:rRNA from 1 species